UACGUAGGUGGCAAGCGUUAUCCGGAUUUACUGGGUGUAAAGGGCGUGUAGGCGGGACAGCAAGUCAGAUGUGAAAUUCCAGGGCUCAACCUUGGAACUGCAUUUGAAACUGUUGUUCUUGAGUGAUGGAGAGGCAGGCGGAAUUCCUAGUGUAGCGGUGAAAUGCGUAGAUAUUAGGAGGAACACCAGUGGCGAAGGCGGCCUGCUGGACAUUAACUGACGCUGAGGCGCGAAAGCGUGGGGAGCAAACAGG
rnacentral:rRNA from 1 species